rnacentral:rRNA from 1 species
GCAAUAUGAAGGUCAGGCUGAAGACCUUACCCGAUUAGCUGAGAGGUGGUGCAUGGCCGUCGUCAGUUCGUACCGUGAAGCAUCCUGUUAAGUCAGGCAACGAGCGAGACCCACGUCCACAGUUGCCAGCAUACCCUCCGGGGUGAUGGGUACACUGUGGAGACCGCCGCUGCUAAAGCGGAGGAAGGAGUGGGCAACGGUAGGUCAGUAUGCCCCGAAUCUCCCGGGCUACACGCGGGCUACAAUGGUUGGUACAAUGGGCAUCUACCCCGAAAGGGGAAGGAAAUCUCUUAAAGCCAAUCGUAGUUCGGAUUGAGGGCUGCAACUCGCCCUCAUGAAGCUGGAAUCCGUAGUAAUCGCGUUUCAACAGAACGCGGUGAAUACGUCCCUGCUCCUU